CUCAAAAAUGAGAUCCUCCUACUCGGCCUCCACAGCAGCUGGGAUUACAGGCACAUGGUGUCAUUCCUGGCUAUUGUUAUUUUUAAAAUUUGUUGCUGGCCUGCGCAAGUGCAAGGACCUGAGUUCGAUCCUCAGUACCAAAAAAAAAAAAAAAAAAUUUCUUGCUGGGGCCUCGUGCAUGCUCUGCCACUGAGCUAUGUCCCAGCCAAAGUGUUACCUUUGGAGGGGAAGGAGGAGCUUGAACCUACAGAAGGCCCUGCAGACGGCUGCUAGAACAUCAGCAGUCCCCUAUUCUCAUCCUGGGUGGCGAGUAUACAGGCGAUAUUUUCCCAUAGUUCUUCAAAUGGUAUUUAUGUUCUGUGUAUCUUUCUGAAUGUGUGUUUUAUUCAACUAAACUAUGUGAUAUUGCCACUAUUCAAUCCUGUUAAUCUACAAAAUAGUGAUUUAUAUGAUUCAACUUGAUGUUCCACAAUAAAAAAAAAUAAUUUACAUCAAGUUGAGAAACCAUUCAACAUGAUGGUUGUGAGGGCUAUCAAAAGCUUCAUUCUCCAGUUAUUCAUUAUUCAUUCACUAUUCAUUCAUGUUUCCGGGGAGGUUAUUCUGAAGCAGGCAGAUUUCUAGGCACUGGGAUACAGUGGGAAUUCUGUCCUGGGGCUUGCCAUCACACGGGAAAAGUGAUCAAACCACAAACACGGAACCAUCUAGCAUGUCAUAUUGUGAUAUGUGGAAAGCAAAACAAGUAGAGGAAGGGAACAGGGAGGAGGAGACAUUUUAGGAAGGGGAGUCAGAAAAACCAGGAGGAGGUGGCGCCUGAAAACACCACGGGAUGGAGGGCGAGAGGGAACGGCUGCAGUGUCGGGGAGCUCAGCAGAGGCCCCGGGGACAGGCCCGGCUGGACUGAGGGCCAAGGAGCCUGGUGUUGCUGAAACACAGCGAGGGAAGGAGAGGAUGGGAGACUUGAGAAGGGAGGAGGCAGCAGGGACAGUCAGACGGUUCGAACUUGAGACCUUCUGCUUGCGCGGCAGGCACCAGAACCACUGACAUAAAUCCCUGGCCCCAGAUAGGAUUUGUUGACGGACUGCAUGUAAGCUAAGAGGAAGAGGAGUCAAUAAUGUGUACAAUACUAAAAAAAAUAGAAGACAACCGUGUACAAGAGCAUUCUGCUCACCCGUGUGUGGUGCUCUAGCUGCCACUGGACCACGGUGAAAGAAGAUGAGGUGGGAAUCCCUUGGAGGAAAAAGAACUCUCACCGUCAAAGGAAAUUCUGCAAGGAGCUUUACACUCUCAGAGCCAAGGAGGGAUGUAAACGCUCACACCAGACCUGGGAAACACCUCAUCUGCAACUCCCUGGCACAGAUUGAUGCGACAGCCAAGUGAGCAAUGGAUGGAAUGAUAGUUUAUUAGCCGUUAGUCACUCUCCAAAAUAAAAGUUUAUUCUGAAC
rnacentral:lncRNA from 1 species